AACGCUGGCGGCGCGCCUAACACAUGCAAGUCGCACGAGAAAGCUGGAGCAAUCUAGUGAGUAAAGUGGCGUACGGGUGAGUAACACGUGGAUGAUCUACCUCUUAGUUCGGAAUAACCCUGGGAAACCGGAGCUAAUACCGGAUGAGCUCGAGAGAGGAAAGCAGCAAUGCGCUGAGAGAGGAGUCCGCGGCCGAUUAGCUAGUUGGCAGGGUAAAAGCCUACCAAGGCAAAGAUCGGUAGCCGGCCUGAGAGGGCACACGGCCACACUGGCACUGAAACACGGGCCAGACUCCUACGGGAGGCAGCAGUGGGGAAUCUUGCACAAUGGGGGAAACCCUGAUGCAGCGACGCCGCGUGAGCGAUGAAGCCCUUCGGGGUGUAAAGCUCUUUCGGCGGGGAAGAUAAUGACGGUACCUGCAAAAGCAGCUGCG
rnacentral:rRNA from 1 species